rnacentral:lncRNA from 1 species
AUGGCUCAUUGUAUCAUGUUUACAUAUCAAUUAUAUAUUCUUCUCCCGUGCCUUCUCACAGUUUAUUCUCACGAUCAAUGCUAUAUUGGACAUGCAAUCAUCUUCUAAGAAAUUUCAUAUAUUUGUGUAUUUGAUUCUUUGGUAUGUAAGAGCUGGUAUUACUAUGUUCUUCUGGCUUAAUAUUUUAACUUGGACCACGAACAGUUAUGCUAGAA